rnacentral:rRNA from 1 species
UGGGGAAUAUUGGACAAUGGGCGCAAGCCUGAUCCAGCCAUGCCGCGUGGGUGAAGAAGGCCUUCGGGUUGUAAAGCCCUUUUGUCCGGAAAGAAAUCCUGUCGGUUAAUACCCGGCGGGGAUGACGGUACCGGAAGAAUAAGCACCGGCUAACUUCGUGCCAGCAGCCGCGGUAAUACGAAGGGUGCAAGCGUUACUCGGAAUUACUGGGCGUAAAGCGUGCGUAGGCGGUUCGUUAAGUCCGAUGUGAAAGCCCUGGGCUCAACCUGGGAACUGCAUUGGAUACUGGCGAGCUAGAGUGCGGUAGAGGAGGGUGGAAUUCCUGGUGUAGCGGUGAAAUGCGUAGAGAUCGGGAGGAACACCAGUGGCGAAGGCGGCCAUCUGGACCAGCACUGACGCUGAGGCACGAAAGCGUGGGGAGCAAACA